rnacentral:rRNA from 1 species
UACGAAGGGGGCUAGCGUUGCUCGGAAUUACUGGGCGUAAAGCGCACGUAGGCGGCUCUUUAAGUCGGAGGUGAAAUCCUGGAGCUCAACUCCAGAACUGCCUUCGAUACUGUAGAGCUUGAGUUCGGGAGAGGUGAGUGGAACUGCGAGUGUAGAGGUGAAAUCCGUAGAUAUUCGCAAGAACACCAGUGGCGAAGGCGGCUCACUGGCCCGAUACUGACGCUGAGGUGCGAAAGCGUGGGGAGCAAACAGG